GGCUCCAUAAUGUAGUGGUUAGCACAUCAGCUUUACACACAGAAGGUCCUGGGUUUGCGCCCCAGGUGGAGCCA
rfam:Pteropus alecto contig110021, whole genome shotgun sequence.